AAACUAUUAUUUAUAUAAUAUAAUAAUUAUAUUUAAUUUCCAAUUAAAAAAUCGAAUCUUUCGUAUAAAUA
rnacentral:tRNA from 1 species